AAUAAAUGUAAACUAUUAUUGUUGUUAUUAUUAUUAUUAAUUUUUAAGUUUUAUCUGAAAGAUAAUUUAUGGAAACAUAUUGACUUAGUAAAGUCCCUAUUGAAAAACUAAUUCAUACUUUAACGUCUUUUAUGAAAAUCCCCAACUCAUUAGCGGGAAUAAGUGUACAAAAAUAGGCAUUUCAAUAUUAGGUUAUUAAAGUAUUUGCAUUAUCUACAUACUAGCCAUUACCUAAUUAUCAAAUUAUAAUAUUUAGGUACUCAACUUUACGAUUUUAUGUUAGUGUUGGUUACCAACAAGACAUCGGUGAACAUAGAGGUUCAGCUCUUAGUCAAGCGUCUGCCAGUAGAUGCCUAAGCCUGAAUGAAGUAACUGAAGCUUUAAAUAAUUCCCAAAUUUUAAAUCAAUAUAUUUAUUUUCCAAACAUUAGAAAUGAACUACAUGAUGAGUUACUUAGAAAGGGCGAUAAUUGAUUAAUAGGGAUUAAUUUAAGUACCUACAUUUAAAUUGAUUUAUAAAAUAUAUUUUUAAACUUAUUAGAUUUUAUGAGACUUUCAAUUCCUCAAGUUAUUGAUGGGACACAUAUAUAUAUAUAGCAAUCGUUCCUCAUAAAUCUGGGGAUGAAAUAGAACCAGAACUUAUUUAUGUUAACAGAAAAGGUUAUUAUAGUAUUAAUAUGAAACUUGUAAGUUUUAAAAUAUAGGUAUACCUAGUGGUCGAAGGGGGGGGGGAUGACAUCCCACAAUUUAUUAUAAUCUACAUUUUUCAUCCCUCCACUUGUUUUGUCCAAAAUAAUACAUCCCCCUUAUAAUUAUAUACAAAGAUUAUUAAUUUAUAUUGAUGUUUUUAUAUCAUAAUGUGCCAUUAUAAUCUAUAGACUAUACUAAUGACUAAUGUAUAAAUAGUUUAGUUUUUGUAUUUGUUUUUAUACCUACUGUAUAAUGAUAUAAUGCUUACUGUUAGAACCUAUUGAUAAGCUGUAUGUGUAUAAAUUAUACAUUUAUUUUUAAUAUGUUUUAUGUUUUAAAUAAAAAUAUAAUUAUAUGUAUAUACAAAGUUAUAUAUAUCAACAAAUAAAAAAUCAAACUGAAAAACAAAAAUAUAUACUAUAUUUAUAUAUAUACAUUUUUAAUAUAAAAAUAAGGCAUAGGGCCAUAGGGGUUCAACUCAUUUCCACCUCCAAUUACCCCAAC